UAUAUAUAUAUAUAUAUAUAUCGGGCACUAAACCAAAGACUCAAGGGCAACGGAACACCAUCUGGUUGUUAGGCCAUAUAUUGACUUAAACUAUAGAUAUUAAAUCCUUGUGUUGUAUUUUGCAGCUGCGGUUGAUUUAUAGAACCAACACCCAAAAGGGUUUGUUUCAGGAGAAGAAAGCCCUCACUUAAAUUCUCAUUUACAAGCAUCUAAAAAUGCGUUUUUUAAAUUUAAAAUAUAUUAUUUAUAUUAAUAAAACGCUUUAAAAGAGCUCUCCUGAAAUUAGAUCUAGUCUAUAAAGUGGUGCCUUUACCCAAAGUCCACCAGGGGGCAACAGAGGGUCGGGCACAGGGUCUUUUCUUCUUCCUCUUCUUUUCUCAGCAGUUCUGCCUCGUGGAAGGGGAGGCCGUGCCCACUCAUUGGUGAUUACGGUUCUGGUGAUGAGUCACGAGGAGAGGCUCUCCAGAUCUCCAAGACGUUAGCCCGUCGGAUCGAACCGCCACUUUCUUUUCUUCUUUACCACAACGUGACCGCUAGCCCGUCAAGUCAGCAGCCCGGGGACGAGCGAUGAGCGCGUGCAGGUGGACGGGCGCGCACGUGGCCAGCGCCAUAAUCACGACGUGGAUGAACAGGAUGUUUUCUCGAGGAUUUCGAUCCACUGUCGGGACAUAAGGAGAAUUUUGACACGUUUAACACAAAUAUUCGGGCUAAAGAUUCCCUGCAUUACCUUUAAGACAUGAUGGAGUCCUCACGGGCACAAAUGAAUGCUACCUGUCCGUUAGAAAUAAUUACGUACAUGGACGUCGAUGUCAAAAAACGGAAAGAGUGUGUGAGCAGCGCUGACAGCGGGGCAGCUGUCUCAAUAUGUUGUUUUAAAAUCAAGCACGUUAUUUCCACUUGAAAGCAUUUCACAUUCAAACAAAGAAAUCCACACAAGAAAUCAGCCAAAGCAAAGAAAAGACAUGAGAAGUCGUUUGAGAGCAUGCCGUGCUGAAAUUGUUGAAGCACCCAACAAUAUACAUUAUUUUUUUUAGUUCAAUUCCAAACACCAAAAUAAUGGAUGCAAGACGUUUGCCACAUAUUGAUCGACCGCUCGAGUCACUUCGACCAGCAGCUGAUUUGUUCUGUCGGAGCAAAAAGGGAAACACGCGGAGAGUUAAAAUAGCAAAAGCCUGGAACAAAGUCUCGCAGCGUUAAACUGCCAGAUGAGACCUUCUCUGGGGACUGCGUGGGUGAGUCAAGACCAACACAAUGGCCAGACCAUUUCUUUUCAACCAGCUUCUAUUUUAAAUUGUUGUUUUCGUGCAGGGUAGAUUGUGCGUUUCUAUUCAACGCACACAUGACGGCGGUCCGAUCCUCAGAGGCCCCAGAAGCGAAGCUCCUGUCUGUUGCUGCUCCUGUUGAUUAGUUUAACUGGUCGAAACGCUGUUCUUUGAGAGCACCGUCAAGCCGCUGUCAACGCGGCCUUUGUCUCAGUUUUUGUUUCUCCUUGUGGCUUCCAUUUCUGCAAAGUUAGUCAAUGAUUUUAUCCUGAAUGAAUCUAAAUAGCUAUGACACUUAAA
ensembl:lncRNA